UUUCCGUAGGUGAACCUGCGGAAGGAUCAUUACUAACGUAUCCACGUAUAAACCAAAAGUUGAAUAUUGUUCUCAAUUCGUCCGUUAGGCUGGGCAUGAAGUUGCUGAGUGUACGAGAUGCACCUAGUGAUUUCGGUUUUGCGCGAGUGAAACUACCCUACCUAGUUCGCGAAUUUUUCAUUUCUCACACAUUUUAACCCAUUUCACCCAAUUAUUCUAAUUGAACUUAAACUGAUUCAUUCAGAGGGAAACCUCCGGAUCGAAUUAAAAAAUACGAAAUUAAGAACAACUCUUAACAACGGAUAUCUUGGCUCUC
rnacentral:misc_RNA from 1 species